ensembl:lncRNA
AUGGAGAAACUGCUCGUGCUCUGCCUCGCUCUCAGCCUCACCGCCUCAGACAACAGCACAUCUGCUCCCAGUACCGCCAACAGCGCAUCUGCUUCCAGUACCGCCAACAGCGCAUCUGCUCCCAGUACCGCCAACAGCGCAUCUGCUUCCAGUACCACCAACAGCGCAUCUGCUCCCAGUAUCACCAACAGCGCAUCUGCUUCCAGUACCGCCAACAGCGCAUCUGCUUCCAGUACCACCAACACCACCGCAGAGGGGAUGAACUCGACGACCGCCUCUCCGAAUAUCACCGGAACGCUCACGACCCCGCAGAACAGCUCACCUGCAAACACAACAACAAACAAUGCAACCUCUACAACGGCUCCGCCCGGUAACGGCACCAACACCCAUUCCUCCGCGACAUCCUCCCCUACCACAGCAAGCAACGGAACGGCCACAAACCAGUCGAUCACAACUCCGAGCACGGCGGCGUCUGCGGCCAGCAGUAGUGCGGGGGUUCCUGGGUGGGGCAUAGCUCUGCUGGUCCUGGCGGCUGUGGUUUUGCUGCUGCUGCUCCUGCUGCUGAUCGGACUGCUGGUGUGGUGCUGCUGCUACAGGGGGCGCUCCCAAGGCUUCAGUCCCUACGACCACCUGAACAGCAGAGACGACAUCCCUCUCUACACCACUCACGGGCGCUUUGAAGCCACCAAUGGGAGAUCAUACGAGGUGAACAACCCAAAUGUUCUCGAAGGGAAGAUUACAACAAUGUCCUGACAAACAUAGAGGAGCAGACCGAGCGGCCGAUGAGGAGCUAAACACGGACGCCCGCUCAUCGACCAACUCAACACGUUUACUUUGUAUCUCUCAGUCUUUUUUACGAACAUCUGUCAUAAUUACUGUUUUAAUGUCAUGGACAUUAAUUUAUUGUCUGAAGGGAAAAUCAGAAACACGGAGUUACACUGAUCGGUGGAUUUAGGGUGUCAUUUAUAUUUUACUUUUGUUAUAUGUUUAUCAUGUCAUCAUAAUUACAACACAAACUUUACAUGUUUGUCUCUGAUUUUCAUUCCUUCUGUCUGUUUGACCAGUAUUACUUUGUUUUCUCUGAAAAAUCCAAAUCAUUUCACAUUAUUUUGAAUUCCUACGUUGAUGUUGUGACUAUCGUUAGGUUAGAUUACUUUAGAUUAUCUUUUGUCAGUUUUUGCGACAGGAUGUACACUUGCCAUUGCAUUAGGUACACCAGUUAGGCUCAUCCAAAUAUCUAAUCAGCCAAUCACAUGGCUCCAACUCAGUGUGUUCACACAUCUGGACAUGCUCAAGCCAGGCUGAAGUGAUUUAAGUGGCCUUGGUCGAGUUCUUGGUCUGAGCAUUUCAAAAAGGGGAGAUGUGCUGGGACUUUCUCACAGCAGCAUCUCUAAGUUCACAGAGAACGGUCCCAAAACGAGAAAACACCCAGUGAGCAGCUGGGAGACACCGCCAGAGGUCCAAGGAGAAUGGACUGCUUUGAGCUGAUAAAGGCAACGGUCACUCCAGCGUCCGCUCGUUACACGUCGAAGCCCGAAGCCGAUGGGCUUCAGCAGCAGGCGACCACACCGGGUGCCACUUCUGUCAGCUAAGAACAGCAAACUGAAGCUACAGCUCACAAACACUCACCAACUCAAAACCCAUUGAGGGUUUUUAAAAAAACAAAAAAAACAAACGCUAAUGCAUCUUUUCCCCAUGUUUUUAUUUCCUGGUAAUAACUUCUGCUGUUAUUUGUGCUUCUGUUGCGUGUGUUGGUUUGGCAGCGGCUCCCAUGUCCCACUUUUUUGUUUGUUAUGUUUGCAGCGGGACAAUCGUGGCCUGAAAGCAAAUCCUCAUUGUUUGAGGUUUGAUUCAUCUUUUCAAACGAAAGUCUAAGUUUAUUCUUUCCAACAAAGCAGCUCGGUCACAAAGACAGAAAGAGAAGGCGGACGUGGAGCGGGCGGAGGAAUGUAUGAACUUGGGAGCGUUUAGCAGGAGUGAUAAAGCAGAUAUCAACAUAAAGAGACUGGGAUGGGCUCUGAACUGAGUCAGCAUCACAGCAACUGUUACCAGCGAAGAGAAACACGCUCUCUCGUUUUAGGUUUCCAUUUCUCUGGGCUUUUUUAAAUCUUUUAUAUUUUAUCUGAAUAAACAAAUCUGCAAAAGUUUCUUGUAUAGUUGUUUUCCAUCAUGUCUAUUUAUCUUGUUACAAGUUUGUCUUUGUUUAACUUUAACACAUCGUUUCCACAGCAUCAAUAUUGUAUAUUCAUCUAAAUGUAGAAGGUAGAAGAUACCAUGUUAAAGAUGAAGCCUUCAAUUCAGUUCAAUCUUAUUUACACAGCGCCAAAUCACAACAGUCGCCUCAAGGUGUUUUCUAUUGUAAGGUCGACCCUACAGUAAUACAUACAGAGAAAAACCCAACAAUCAUAUGACCCCCUAUGAGCAAGCACUUUGGCGACAGUGGGAAGGAAAAACUCCCUUUUAACAGGAAGAAACCUCCGGCAGAACCAGGCUCAGGGAGGGGCGGGGCCAUCUGCUGCGACUGGUUGGGGUGAGAGAAGGAAAACAGGAUAAAGACAUGCUGUGGAAGAGAGACAGAGGUUAAUAACAGAUAUGAUUCGAUGCAGAGAGGUCUAUUAACACAUAGUGAGUGAAGAAGAAACACCCAGUGCAUCAUGGGAAUCCCCCGGCAGCCUACACCUGUUGCAGCAUAACUAAGGGAGGAUUCAGGGUCACCUGGUCCAGCCCUAACUAUAUGCUUUAGCAAAAAGGAAAGUUUGAAGCCUAAUCUUGAAAGUAGAGAUAGUGUCUGUCAGGGUUUUAAUAGUUUUGCAAUUUUCAUUAGUUUUUAUUUUUAUUUCGUUUUGACUUCAGAUUUUAAAUUUUAUAUUAGUUUUAAUUAGUUUUUACCAAUUGUUUGCUAGUUUAGUUUUAAUUUUUUUUGAAAAUCCUUAGUUUCAGUUUAGUUUUGAUUAGACAACUCACGUUCCCACCUAUGGGUUCUUUAAAUAAAUAAAGGCAGAUGAACAACCAUUGAUACCAGGCAACUAUAAAAUGUAUAUCUUGGCCCCAAUGAGACUAUUAACUCUUGCAGCACCGGGUGUUAAGGCAAUUGACUCACACAGUUAUGUAGAUAUCCCAGUCCUGUUGUCUCGGGAUGCAUCACGCUGCCUUGCCUGGGGUUAGCUUCUGUUUCUGGGGAUGAGGGUUGAGUGUGCUCCCUUACCUUCUCCAGGUAAGCUAGGUUAGCCUUCUUGUGUGAGCUUUUCAAGUGCACUUUAAGGUUUGUGGGAUUUUUUUCCUUUUAGAAAUGUCCCUCAUAAUUUGUCUCUUUCCACUACAAGACACUUGCUUUAUCCAAAACACAGUCAUAUUCAAAGUAAUCCCAAAUUGGACUGGCGCUUUCUCCAGACUUUUCCUGACGUGAUUCUGCGCGUGGACGGAGCAGCAACACAGACGACUCGACUAACGUACUGCCACCUGCUGGCAUAAUGAGACACAGCAAGAAAAAGACCUGGAAACUAAACUUCUUUUUCACCCUUGACUAUUGUAUGACACGCACACAUCAAUGAAAACUAAACGCAUUUUUGCUAUAAAUUCAGUUAAUUUUAGUUAGUUUUGUGAACACUCAUUACAGUUUUAGUUAGUUUUCCUUUUUUUGUUUUUAUUUUUAUUUCCGUUAACGAAAAUGUUUUUUCACUUCUAGUUUUCGUUAUUUCGUUAGUUUUCGUUAACGAUAAUAACCUUGGUGUCUGUCUCCUGAAUCCAAACUGGAAGCUGGUUCCACAGAAGAGGGGCCUGAAAACUGAAGGCUCUGCCUCCCAUUCUACUUUUAAAUACUCUUGGAACAGCAAGUUAUAGAAAAAGACAUACCUCAUAUUUCUGACAUAUGUAAGUGUCAUAAACAUCAGCCAUCAAUAAAAAAUACGAAACAAUAUUUGAACAAACAGCUCAUCCU